CUCAGAAGGUGGAGCCGACCCACAGAUAAAGGUUCAAGAAAAACCAGGAAGAGGGAGAGAGAGUGCUGGAAGGAUCUAUGAACAAUAGAGAAAGAGACAAUAGAGAUUGGCUGGAUUUACUGUGUAUGAGCUGGAUUGUUUUGGACUUACCUGUUGGCGUUUGGACCUGGACCUGCCGAGAACCCGAUUUGAGUACCGAACCCUGCUAUCCUUGACCUCGCCUAUGGCCUGGGUGGACCAGGACGGAGAAACAAACACACAGAGAUAAGGAGGCGGUUGCCUUGUGGGAUCAGACGCCGUCAAAUCACAGAUCAGGAAGAGGCUGUCGAGCAGGAAGAGGAAGACCGGGCAGGGAGUGUGUGUGUGUGUCAUGUUGACAGAAUGGGCCAGAACAGGAGCACCUGUAACAGGAGCACCUGUAACUUGGCAGCCGUGGAGGAGAGGUUUAAAAGAGGAUGGUCUGGAUGUGCCUGUCCUGGUUCUGCCAGCCUAACAGUGACGAACAGCUACAUUAAUCAACCCUGUCCAGCAGACAAGGGAUGAACGUGGUACCUUCAGGCGUUUGCAAAUUGCUCCCAAGGAUGAACCAGACUUUUGGAGGUCUACAAUUUUUUUUCUGAGGUGUUGGCUGAUUUCUUUUGAUUUUCUCAUGAUGUAGAGCAAAGAGUCACUUAGUUUGAAGAUUGGAUGUAUUUCAAGGUUUCAGGUACACCUCCAAUUGACUCAAAUGAUGGCUUUAGAAUCUUCUGAUAGGCUAAUUGACAUGACCUAAUUUUCUGGAAUUUUCCAAGCUGUUUAAAGGCACAGUCAACUUCGUGUAUGUGAAACAGUGAAUUAUAAGUGAAAUAAUGUGUCUGUAAACAAAUGUUGGAAAAAUGACUUGUGUCAUGCACAAAGUAGAUGUCCUAACCGACUUGCCAAAACUAUAGUUUGUGAACAAGAAAUUUGUGGAGUGGUUGAAAAACGAGUUUGUAGGUGAUCAAAUACUUAUUUUCCACCAUAAUUUGCAAAUAAAUUCAUUAAAA
ensembl:lncRNA